UACGAAGGGGGCUAGCGUUGCUCGGAAUUACUGGGCGUAAAGCGCACGUAGGCGGCUUUCUAAGUCGGGGGUGAAAUCCUGGAGCUCAACUCCAGAACUGCCUUCGAUACUGGAAAGCUCGAGUCCGGGAGAGGUGAGUGGAACUGCGAGUGUAGAGGUGAAAUUCGUAGAUAUUCGCAAGAACACCAGUGGCGAAGGCGGCUCACUGGCCCGUAACUGACGCUGAGGUGCGGAAGCGUGGGGAGCAAACAGG
rnacentral:rRNA from 1 species